GCCUUCAGAGGUCAGCUGGUUAGAGCACUGCAACUGGUCAAGGGUUCGAAUCCCGUUGAAGACA
rnacentral:tRNA from 1 species